rnacentral:rRNA from 1 species
CGACGUGGGUAACGUACCUUUUAGUGGGGAACAACAGUGAGAAAUUACUGCUAAUACCGCAUGAGAUUAGCCUAUCGCAUGAUAGGAUAAAGAAAGGCGGCCUCUCAAAGAAGCUGCCGCUAAAAGAUCGACCCGCGUCUGAUUAGCUAGUUGGUGAGGUAACGGCCCACCAAGGCAACGAUCAGUAGCCGGCCUGAGAGGGUGAACGGCCACAUUGGGACUGAGACACGGCCCAA